CAGAGUGUAACAACUCCCAAACCCACUGUGAACAUACCCAAAUGUUGCUUCGGCGGACCCGCCCCGGGCGCACUCCCACAGCGGAGCGUGACCCGGGCCCAGGCGGCCGCCGGGGACCCCAAACUCUUGUCUUCUAUAGGCGUUCUGAGUGUGAUUUAUACAAAUCAAAUCA
rnacentral:misc_RNA from 1 species